rnacentral:rRNA from 1 species
AUUGAACGCUGGCGGCGUGCCUAACACAUGCAAGUCGAGCGGUAACAGGUGUAGCAAUACAUGCUGACGAGCGGCGGACGGGUGAGUAACGCUUGGGAAUCUGCCUAUUAGUGGGGGACAGCCCGGGGAAACUCGGGCUAAUACCGCAUACGCACUACGGUGGAAAGCCGGGGACCGCAAGGCCUGGCGCUAACAGAUGAGCCCAAGUCGGAUUAGCUAGUUGGUAGGGUAACGGCCUACCAAGGCGACGAUCCGUAACUGGUCUGAGAGGACGACCAGUCACACCGGAACUGAGACACGGUCCGGACUCCUACGGGAGGCAGCAGUGGGGAAUAUUGGACAAUGGGCGAAAGCCUGAUCCAGCGACGCCGCGUGGGUGAAGAAGGCCUGCGGGUUGUAAAAGCCCUUUCAGUGGGGAAGAAAAGCCUCGAGCUAACACCUCGGGGUCUUGACGUAACCCAUAGAAGAAGCACCGGCUAACUCUGUGCC